AUGCAUUUUGAGGAGGUUCACAAGGAUUGAAGUGGAUUUGAUUUUGGUUUUCAUAGCUGUUCGUGAGGAUCUGUGAGUUUCAUCGCAGAUUGGAGAGGGAAUCAUUGUCCAGAGGUCUGUAACCUGAACAUAGUCCCAUCUCUUCCCAUCUUUUGAAGAUCAAUCCCCGUGAUUAACUUGUUUUUUGGAUGAAUCUUCAUUAGACAGGUACAUUUCUUGGAGAUGUUGAGGUAGUUUCCAGAUGAAAUCUGAACUACAGAGAACAGUUUCUGGGUUUGAAAGAUCAGAGUUGAAAACGAAUUCUGACCAUUAUAGCUUCGAAAUGUCGCCUCUUUCUUAGAUUUCUCAAUCCGUUUCUAUAUUCAUAAUCUCAAGGCUUCAACGGCGAAAGUUGGUGAAUCGUCGGUGUUGUGGUCUCAAAUCUUUUCAGAAACUCUUCGACUUCAGAAGUACAGAAG
rnacentral:lncRNA from 1 species